GACGAACGCUGGCGGCGUGCUUAACACAUGCAAGUCGAACGGAAAGGCCUUUUCGGCGGUACUCGAGUGGCGAACGGGUGAGUAACACGUGGGUGAUCUGCCCUGCACUCUGGGAUAAGCCUGGGAAACUGGGUCUAAUACCGGAUAGGACCGCACUUUAGUGUGUGUGGUGGAAAGUUUUUUCGGUGUAGGAUGAGCCCGCGGCCUAUCAGCUUGUUGGUGGGGUAAUGGCCUACCAAGGCGGCGACGGGUAGCCGGACUGAGAGGUUGGUCGGCCACAUUGGGACUGAGAUACGGCCCAGACGCCUACGGGAGGCAGCAGUGGGGAAUAUUGCACAAUGGGCGCAAGCCUGAUGCAGCGACGCCGCGUGGGGGAUGACGGCCUUCGGGUUGGAAACUCCUUUCGCCAGGGACGAAGCGUUUUGUGACGGUACCUGGAGAAGAAGCACCGGCUAACUACGUG
rnacentral:rRNA from 1 species